rnacentral:misc_RNA from 1 species
AAGUCGUAACAAGGUUUCCGUAGGUGAACCUGCGGAAGGAUCACUAUUGAAUGAACUUGGCGUGGUUGUUGCUGGUCCUCUUGGGGGCCAUGUGCACACCCGUCAUCUUUAUCUUUCCACCUGUGCACAUUUUUGUAGGUCUAAAAUUUUUUCCCGAGGCAACUCGUUUAGAGGGUUUGCUGUGCAUCACUGUCGGCUUCCCCUUGGAUUUUCAGGCCUAUGUUUUCACAUACACCAUAAAAUGUAAUAGAAUGUCAUAUUGGGCUUUGUUGCCUAUAAACUAUAUACAA